GACAACAGAUUGUUAGGAUUUCAAAUCAACUACCGUAUAUUAAAUAUUUCAGAAAGAAUGCAGGGUCCUAUAGUCCUACGAUUUAGAAUCCGAUCUGACCAGAAAUAAAAAACAAUCGAAGAAACAGGAAAAGAUUGCAACACGAAAAAGGGCAGACUUUUGAAGAAGAAGGAGGAGAAGAAGAAAUACUUCAAGCGACAUCAUUGUCUCUGACAUGAAAAUAACUAUCGAGGAAAUAGGAAAAGAUUGCAACAAGGAAAAGAGGCAGGCUCCGGAAGAAGAUUUCAAAC
rnacentral:lncRNA from 1 species